rnacentral:rRNA from 1 species
AUGUCCAAGUACGGCACCAUCCCCACCUCCUCCUCCGCCGCCGCGGGGGCGCCCCACCUCGGCGGCGCCUCCCCGCUCGACUUCAUCUCCCGCGCCAAGGCCCGCGGCGCGACGGCGCUGGCCACGCGCCGGCCAUGGCGCGAGCUCGCGGACGUGCACGCCGUCGGGCUGCCCCCGAGCCUCGGCGACGCCUACCUGCGCGUGCGCGCCAACCUCGCCCACUUCGCCAUGAACUACGCCAUCGUCGUCCUCGUCGUCGUCUUCCUCUCCCUCCUCUGGCAGCCCAUCUCCCUCAUCGUCUUCCUCGUCUGCAUGGUCGGCUGGCUCGUCCUCUACUUCCUCCGCGACGAGCCCAUCGUCCUCUUCGGCCGCGUCGUCGGCGACGGCGUGGUCCUCGCCGUGCUCGCUGCUGUCACGCUCAUCCUCCUGCUGCUCACCGGCGCCACCACCAACAUCCUCACGUCGCUGCUCAUCGGCUUCGUGCUCGUCGUGGUGCACGCCGCUCUGCACAAGGCGGAGGACAACGUUGACGAAGAGGUCGGCCGCUGGUACGCGCCGGUGCCAGCGCAGUAG